UACAUGGAUAGGAUCAUUGGUUGUGGU
rnacentral:sRNA from 1 species